UCUUGGCUGGCAGAGAUCCAGCCCACCCCAAGCACACGUGACCCGGAGCGGUCUUGAGAACGAAUUGGUGGCCAACCCCAGAGGCAUCUUUUGGAAACUACCUGGACUCCGUUCCGUGGAUAGUCUCUGCGUUCACUAGAAGUGGUACCUUCCACCAGUUACUCAGGAAGAGAGAUGUGCAAUGGUCCUCGGACACUCUCCGAGGUCUGCUUUUUGUUAUCACCUGGGACAGGGAUUGCCUAGAUGGAACAUUUCUUGUGUUAAUUGAAGUAAGAAGAUGCAUCGUGAUUGUGGGUGGCGCAUUCUCAUGGACUGGGUGGGCCCUGAGCUGCAUUUAGUCUUGUGAUAAUGUGAUCCUGAAGCUGCCAACAGCUACCAUAUGGAACCUGCAGAAAGCUGCCAGAAUCAUGCAGGCUACAGAAAGAAGCCCAACAUUCCAACAGGACAUCCUGAAGCCAGAGGCGCAAGAAGUCCUCUUGUGUUUGACAGCUGUCACUAUAACAUAUUCCUGAGAUGGGCAUCUUACAAAGAUGGUCAUUUUUGGCUCAGACUUUUGGAGGUAUCACUCCAUAGUCUUGCCACAGGUCCAGGAACAACAGCUCAGCUAUGAUAAUGAGAUCUUGCCUCAAAGUAAAACCAUGUCCAAACCUCAA